UAAUACAUCGGAACGUAUCCCGUAGUGGGGGAUAGCCCGGCGAAAGCCGGAUUAAUACCGCAUAUGCUCUACGGAGGAAAGUGGGGGAUCGCAAGACCUCACGCUAUGGGAGCGGCCGAUGUCCGAUUAGCUUGUUGGUGGGGUAAUGGCCUACCAAGGCGACGAUCGGUAGCUGGUCUGAGAGGAUGAUCAGCCACACUGGGACUGAGACACGGCCCAG
rnacentral:rRNA from 1 species